GUGAACUCGAAGAGUAGGGCGGGACACGUGGUAUCCUGUCUGAAUAUGGGGGGACCAUCCUCCAAGGCUAAAUACUCCUGACUGACCGAUAGUGAACCAGUACCGUGAGGGAAAGGCGAAAAGAACCCCGGCGAGGGGAGUGAAAAAGAACCUGAAACCGUGUACGUACAAGCAGUGGGAGCACCUUCGGGUGUGACUGCGUACCUUUUGUAUAAUGGGUCAGCGACUUAUAUUCUGUAGCAAGGUUAACCGUAUAGGGGAGCCGCAGGGAAACCGAGUCUUAACUGGGCGUUAAGUUGCAGGGUAUAGACCCGAAACCCGGUGAUCUAGCCAUGGGCAGGUUGAAGGUUGGGUAACACUAACUGGAGGACCGAACCGACUAAUGUUGAAAAAUUAGCGGAUGACUUGUGGCUGGGGGUGAAAGGCCAAUCAAACCGGGAGAUAGCUGGUUCUCCCCGAAAGCUAUUUAGGUAGCGCCUCGUGAACUCAUCUUCGGGGGUAGAGCACUGUUUCGGCUAGGGGGUCAUCCCGACUUACCAACCCGAUGCAAACUACGAAUACCGAAGAAUGUUAUCACGGGAGACACACGGCGGGUGCUAACGUCCGUCGUGAAGAGGGAAACAACCCAGACCGCCAGCUAAGGUCCCAAAGUCAUGGUUAAGUGGGAAACGAUGUGGGAAGGCACAGACAGCCAGGAUGUUGGCUUAGAAGCAGCCAUCAUUUAAAGAAAGCGUAAUAGCUCACUGGUCGAGUCGGCCUGCGCGGAAGAUGUAACGGGGCUAAACCAUGCACCGAAGCUGCGGCAGCGACACUAUGUGUUGUUGGGUAGGGGAGCGUUCUGUAAGCCUGCGAAGGUGACCUGUGAGGGUUGCUGGAGGUAUCAGAAGUGCGAAUGCUGACAUAAGUAACGAUAAAGCGGGUGAAAAGCCCGCUCGCCGGAAGACCAAGGGUUCCUGUCCAACGUUAAUCGGGGCAGGGUGAGUCGACCCCUAAGGCGAGGCCGAAAGGCGUAGUCGAUGGGAAACAGGUUAAUAUUCCUGUACUUGGUGUUACUGCGAAGGGGGGACGGAGAAGGCUAUGUUAGCCGGGCGACGGUUGUCCCGGUUUAAGCAUGUAGGCUGAUUGUCCAGGCAAAUCCGGAUAAUCAAGGCUGAGGUGUGAUGACGAGGCACUACGGUGCUGAAGUAACAAAUGCCCUGCUUCCAGGAAAAGCCUCUAAGCAUCAGGUAACAUUAAAUCGUACCCCAAACCGACACAGGUGGUCAGGUAGAGAAUACCAAGGCGCUUGAGAGAACUCGGGUGAAGGAACUAGGCAAAAUGGUGCCGUAACUUCGGGAGAAGGCACGCUGGUGUGUAGGUGAAGUCCCUGCGGAUGGAGCUGAGACCAGUCGAAGAUACCAGCUGGCUGCAACUGUUUAUUAAAAACACAGCACUGUGCAAACACGAAAGUGGACGUAUACGGUGUGACGCCUGCCCGGUGCCGGAAGGUUAAUUGAUGGGGUUAUCCGUAAGGAGAAGCUCUUGAUCGAAGCCCCGGUAAACGGCGGCCGUAACUAUAACGGUCCUAAGGUAGCGAAAUUCCUUGUCGGGUAAGUUCCGACCUGCACGAAUGGCGUAAUGAUGGCCAGGCUGUCUCCACCCGAGACUCAGUGAAAUUGAACUCGCUGUGAAGAUGCAGUGUACCCGCGGCAAGACGGAAAGACCCCGUGAACCUUUACUAUAGCUUGACACUGAACAUUGAGCCUUGAUGUGUAGGAUAGGUGGGAGGCUUUGAAGCGUGGACGCCAGUCUGCGUGGAGCCAACCUUGAAAUACCACCCUUUAAUGUUUGAUGUUCUAACGUUGGCCCCUGACCGGGGUUGCGGACAGUGUCUGGUGGGUAGUUUGACUGGGGCGGUCUCCUCCCAAAGCGUAACGGAGGAGCACGAAGGUUAGCUAAUCCUGGUCGGACAUCAGGAGGUUAGUGCAAUGGCAUAAGCUAGCUUGACUGCGAGCGUGACGGCGCGAGCAGGUGCGAAAGCAGGUCAUAGUGAUCCGGUGGUUCUGAAUGGAAGGGCCAUCGCUCAACGGAUAAAAGGUACUCCGGGGAUAACAGGCUGAUACCGCCCAAGAGUUCAUAUCGACGGCGGUGUUUGGCACCUCGAUGUCGGCUCAUCACAUCCUGGGGCUGAAGUAGGUCCCAAGGGUAUGGCUGUUCGCCAUUUAAAGUGGUACGCGAGCUGGGUUUAGAACGUCGUGAGACAGUUCGGUCCCUAUCUGCCGUGGGCGCUGGAGAAUUGAGGGGGGCUGCUCCUAGUACGAGAGGACCGGAGUGGACGCAUCACUGGUGUUCGGGUUGUCAUGCCAAUGGCACUGCCCGGUAGCUAAAUGCGGAAGAGAUAAGUGCUGAAAGCAUCUAAGCACGAAACUUGCCCCGAGAUGAGUUCUCCCUGAGACUAUAAGUCUCCUGAAGGAACGUUAAAGACGAUGACGUUGAUAGGCCGGGUGUGUAAGCGCAGCGAUGCGUUGAGCUAACCGGUACUAAUGAACCGUGAGGCUUAACCUU
rnacentral:rRNA from 2 species